rnacentral:rRNA from 1 species
UACGUAGGGUGCAGGCGUUAAUCGGAAUUACUGGGCGUAAAGCGUGCGCAGGCGGUUUCUUAAGUCAGAUGUGAAAUCCCCGGGCUUAACCUGGGAAUGGCAUUUGGGACUGCAAGGCUGGAGUGUGGCAGAGGAGACUGGAAUUCCUGGUGUAGCAGUGAAAUGCGUAGAUAUCAGGAGGAAUACCGAUGGCGAAGGCAGGUCUCUGGGCUGACACUGACGCUCAUGCACGAAAGCGUGGGGAGCAAACAGG